GAGGAGGUCGCGGCUGAUUAGCUAGUUGGCGGGGUAAUGGCCCACCAAGGCAAAGAUCGGUAGCCGGCCUGAGAGGGCGCACGGCCACACUGGAACUGAAACACGGUCCAGACUCCUACGGGAGGCAGCAGUGGGGAAUUUUGCGCAAUGGGGGAAACCCUGACGCAGCAACGCCGCGUGGAGGAUGAAGUCCCUUGGGACGUAAACUCCUCUCGACCCGGACGAUAAUGACGGUACGGGUGGAAGAAGCCCCGGCUAACUUCGUGCCAGCAGCCGCGGUAAUACGAGGGGGGCAAGCGUUGUUCGGAAUUAUUGGGCGUAAAGGGCGCGUAGGCGGUGCGGUAAGUCACCUGUGAAACCUCUAGGCUUAACCUAGAGCCUGCAGGCGAAACUGCCGUGCUUGAGGGUGGGAGAGGUGCGUGGAAUUCCCGGUGUAGCGGUGAAAUGCGUAGAUAUCGGGAGG
rnacentral:rRNA from 1 species